rnacentral:lncRNA from 1 species
UUUCAGAGUAGUUUUUUAAGACCAAGGUGCACUGCAUUUUCGUCUUUAGAGUUUUGUUUUCUCGUAGUGAACAAUAUUCUCCAUUAAAAAACAUAGUGGACCGAUGUGUGUCUUCAUUUGAGCAGACACAAAUUACACACACGCACUACAAUUUACACUAUUUACAAAUAGAACCACUUAAGAUGUAGUUUUUUAAAGUUUUGUGUAGUUUCGUCAAUGAACCACAUAAUGCAACCAAACACAAACAUAAUUGAACUAUGUCAAGAACAAUGCAUCCAAACAGAAAUAUAACUGCAUGCUGACAUGAGAAUGCUUUUGCGCACAACCGUUUCCCGCGUCCCUGCCUAACGGCAUGCACGCCUGUGUCGGACUGAACUUUUGAUCACAAGUAAUUACUAGCUUCCCUGUAGCACACAAAUAUGUACAACUCUCUCUUGAACACUCAAAUUCACAAGUGCUCUUCUGAACAAGAAUGUUGCCUUCUCGUUUUGCCUCCAUAUUGGAUCAAAGAAGCAGUGCAAAAUCUUGUAGCACCCAUCUAAAAACUGCACUGAAGAUACGUCAGCAAUGAACUGCACCAGAGCACAAAAUUUUCUAGGAAAAAAAAGGCCACUAGGGGUAGCAACAAUUGUAUAUCUCUGAAAAAUAGCUGAAAUAAUCCUGCAAACCAUAGUCUAAACUGCACGCCGAUGGGCCGUGAGUUGCACCUGCUGAAGAUGUGGAAUGCUGCAAACUCCGAUCGAGUGGAGCCGUGGCUAUUGGCAUCUCCACAGGAGUUGCUAGUCGGAUCACCCCCGUGAGAUGGAGCUCCCCGAGGUCGAAGGGGGAGUGCCUCCCUCUCCCCAUUUAGGUCCCUUGUGCUCGGAGCGGCCCUCCUGCAGCUCGCGCAUUUGGGGUGCGCUAGGCAGGGGCGAUGGAUCUGGCACCAGUCUAGCGACCACUGAGGCGCAUGUCCGGUGUUGGGGUGAGGCGGUGGUGGGUUGGGCGCAACGGCCGAGAGGGGAGAUGAAGGUGGCAGGGGCAGGGAAAUGGGGUGGGCGUUAAAACGCGGCGACUGGACAGGGUGGCACUGGCUCGUGGCGACCGCACCCGAAGGGGAGUGGAGGGAGGUGAUCCUCCGCCCACAGAGAGCACGCCUGUCACUAGAUCCGGGGUUGAAUCGAUGGAUUCGUACCUCGGGUCGCCGGAUCUGACGUGGUUGAGGCUUUUCUCCGCGCGCAAUGAGGGGAGGGUGCUAUUUCCCGGGCGCGCGAGGUGGUGAGGAGCUCGUGCGGCGGUGCGGGGAGGUGUUGGUGCACCGACCCGGGGGAAGAGGAUUCGUCCAGCGACACAAGGAGGAGCUCGUGCGGCGGNNNN